CCGAGUUCAUGCCCUUACGGGUAGAUCUCCCACCCUUUGUAUACUAUACCUUUGUUGCUUUGGCGGGCCGCCUAGCUACUGGCUUCGGCUGGUAAGUGCCCGCCAGAGGACCCAAAACUCUGUCUGUCUGUGUCGUCUGAGUACUAUAUAAUAGUUA
rnacentral:misc_RNA from 1 species